rnacentral:rRNA from 1 species
UACGUAGGCAGCGAGCGUUGUUCGGAAUUACUGGGCGUAAAGAGUGUGUAGGCGGUGCUCUAAGUUCGGUGUGAAAUCUCCCGGCUUAACUGGGAGGGUGCGCCGGAAACUGGAGUGCUCGAACGUGGGAGAGGAAAGCGGAAUUCCCGGUGUAGCGGUGAAAUGCGUAGAGUAUCGGGAGGAACACCUGCGGUGUAGACGGCUUUCGUGGGACCGAAUUGUUGACGCUGAGACACGAAAGCGUGGGUAGCAAACAGG